rnacentral:rRNA from 1 species
GAUCCUGGCUCAGGAUGAACGCUAGCUACAGGCUUAACACAUGCAAGUCGAGGGGCAGCAUGAACUUAGCUUGCUAAGUUUAAUGGCGACCGGCGCACGGGUGAGUAACACGUAUCCAACCUGCCGAUGACUCGGGGAUAGCCUUUCGAAAGAAAGAUUAAUACCCGAUGGCAUAAUUCUUCCGCAUGGUAGAACUAUUAAAGAAUUUCGGUCAUCGAUGGGGAUGCGUUCCAUUAGGUUGUUGGG